rnacentral:rRNA from 1 species
GUGUCAGCAGCCGCGGUAAGACGAACCAUGCAAACGUUAUUCGGAAUUACUGGGCUUAAAGCGUGCGUAGGCGGCUCAGAAAGUUGGGUGUGAAAGCCCUCGGCUCAACCGAGGAAUUGCGCCCAAAACUACUGGGCUUGAGGGAGUUAGAGGUGAGCGGAACUCACGGUGGAGCGGUGAAAUGCGUUGAUAUCGUGAGGAACACCGGAGGCGAAAGCGGCUCACUGGGGCUUAUCUGACGCUGAGGCACGAAAGCUAGGGGAGCAAACGGGAUUAGAAACCCCAGUAGUCC